UGGGGAAUAUUGGACAAUGGGGGCAACCCUGAUCCAGCCAUGCCGCGUGUGUGAAGAAGGCCUUUUGGUUGUAAAGCACUUUAAGCAGUGAAGAAGACUCCAUGGUUAAUACCCAUGGACGAUGACAUUAGCUGCAGAAUAAGCACCGGCUAACUCUGUGCCAGCAGCCGCGGUAAUACAGAGGGUGCAAGCGUUAAUCGGAAUUACUGGGCGUAAAGCGAGCGUAGGUGGCUUGAUAAGUCAGAUGUGAAAGCCCCGGGCUUAACCUGGGAGCGGCAUCUGAUACUGUUAGGCUAGAGUAGGUGAGAGGAAGGUAGAAUUCCAGGUGUAGCGGUGAAAUGCGUAGAGAUCUGGAGGAAUACCGAUGGCGAAGGCAGCCUUCUGGCAUCAUACUGACACUGAGGUUCGAAAGCGUGGGUAGCAAACA
rnacentral:rRNA from 1 species